AAUUAAAAGUACAAGUGCCCUCAUAUAUGUCUGGUAAUAUGGACCAGAUGUCUCUACCAAGUCCCCGGAAAUGACUUGACUAUGAAGGUGGAUGACGCAUGC
rnacentral:ncRNA from 2 species